rnacentral:misc_RNA from 1 species
UAUUUCAUUUCUUAGCAAUCUCAUGUCUCAAUGCAUUAGUAUCUUAUCCAAAAUUGGGAAUGGCCACUUGAAUCCUCCUUUGGCACUCUCUCUUCCUACUAUGGAAAGGGUCGUCAAACCCUUUUUUUUGCAGAUUAACUCAAGAAACAUAUAUUGUAUUGAUAAAAAUUACAAGUAGAAUUUGUUACAGUAGAAGAUAAUGCAUAUCAGAAAUCACAUCAGUAAAUAUUUCCAUGCCGUUACUUAGAGCCAUGAUUUUUGUCAAACCCUGCAGCUUUGCCUACUUGGAGCCUAAUUUGAUAUCUCAAUCACCAUUCGCUCAUAUACUUCCUCAGAAGCAAAAGGAGAAUUAAAAGGCAAAUAAGCUUAAAUGUCAAGCCCAUAUUUUCUUCCCCGUAAUACACUACAUAAGUCUACACCUAGGAGUGAACAUUAUUCGGUUUAAAUCGAAUAAACCGAACUGCCUUAAUUCGGUAA